CUUAAUAAUAAUUAAUAAUCUUAGCCUAAUUAUCUUAUGAUUUACAACUAAUUUAGAUUUUUAAUAUUAUCUAAAAUAUUUUAAGGAUAAACUUGAUUUAAUUAUCAUUUUCCUAACUAAUAAUUAAUUUCCGUUGGUUUAAAAAAAAAAAAUGUUUGCCGUAUGUUUUGGGAUGGAAUUCCCAACUUUCAAGAUUUCUUUGAUUUCAUCCUUACUCCUCCAACCAAACCAAUGAUAAUCUUAUUUUCUUCUCAUCUUUUUCACUUGAUCCUUUUCACAUAAAUUAACUUAGGCCAAAUUACAUCCAAAUUCAUCUAAAGAACCCAAAUUUAUCUUGUUUGCAUACCAAUCCUACACUCUCUUGAACUUUAUCUUUUUCACCCUUAUUCACCUAUAAAUAGACCCUUAAUCCCCUUCAUUCAUUCACACCAAAAUCAGAAAAAAAAUCCUCUUCUCAACCUUCAAUCCCACGCCAUCCUCUUCCUCUAUUUUCUUCUUGUUUGCUCAAACAAACACCGUACCGCAACUACACUACCGAUUGUUGGCACCCAAACAACCACCACUACUACCAUCUACUUGCCACCAUACACCACCUGCUGUCACUGCCGGCCACCUGCUGCACUAUCCUUGCAGCCAGCCGCCCCGUAAGCUGCUGCCAGAAGGUCCUACCUUCCUUCACCUUGCCGUACUUGGUUGAACAACAAAACAAAGAAAAACUCCACUUAGUAGAGGAUUCCAUUGAUCGUGGUCAAGUGUAGUAGUCGUACCAUAAUUCGUUCUUGUGAUCAAGUUUUGAUUUCAGGUGUGAAGUUGAUCGUGCGCAUACUUGAGUCGGGAGUGGGAUCACUUAGUUAGGAGUUUAUUCAUUCAUGAGUUAGACAUGUAUUAUUUGGAGUAGUAAUUAUUUUUUUUUUCAAACCAUAUUAUGAAGUUAUUAUAUUAUUAAUAAAAUCAGUUAUUUUUCCGCUGUCAUAAUUAGUAGUUAAAAAGCCUUACGUUUUCACGUGGCGGUAAUACGCCCAAGUCUACCUCUACGGUAUUUUAUACGUACAAAUAUAGUAUUUACGUAGAGAGAGAUUUGAGGGUGUUACAUCUUGUACCGCGGGCGCGGUUGCCUGUGCCGCGGGAGC